rnacentral:lncRNA from 1 species
GAGGAAAGAAGGAAGGGAUGGGGUGGGGGUGGGGGGAGGUAAAAGAUGGGUGUGUUUUUUUUGUUUUGUUUUUUUUUUUGUAUUUUUUUAAUUAUUUAAUAUUGAAGUGGGCCCAUAUUGACAUGUGGCGCCCAAUAAUGAUCUAUGUGGGCAUCACGUCAUCAGUUAAUAGAAGUUCUAACGGAAAACUUAACAGAUAUACGAGACUAUCCUAAAAUUAAUACUUUAGGUAUGACUCUGGGAUGAAAAAAACUUCAUGUACUAAAUGUUGAAAACCACGAAACUUGAGGGUAGUAAACUGAGAUUCACCCAUUAAUCUAUAUGAGAGGAGAGAGAGGAGAAAGAAAGAAAGUGAGCCAAAAGGACAGAGAUACGAGUGAGUAACAGAGAUGGGUAUGAAAAUAUUUCAUCUUUUAAGCAUUUUUAACACAAUUGUCAUUCUAAAGGGUAAUUUUGUAAUUUACAUUCCAAAGAAAAUAAGUUAAUGAUGUCAUUAUUAACUUUUGUCUCUCAUUGAAAUGUUUAAAAAGUGUUGUCCCAAUAUAUAAUUAAGUAUUAAAAGUAUACUCUAUGUGUAAGUUUUUUCUAAAAAGUAAUCAAAAUUAAUUUUAGUUUUUAUUCUAUUGGUUGUUAAUGAGACGCAUGCAUUAAAAAAUUAAAUUAAAUAUAUUUAACUCCUUUGUUUGCUUAAACAAAGACAGUUAGGGAGUACGGAGUCAAAUGACUCAACUGCUACAUCAUAUAUGACAUAUUCAUUGGAGAACAUUUGAAUGUCUUUUAACCAUAUUUGACAUAUUUGACAUCUUAUUUGGAGAUGGUCUAACCCUUGUGUUUCACUUUUCCAUUCAAGCUGCACAUUUUGCUUACAUUUUAAACGAGUUAUUCCUACACUAUUCUUUUCACUUUUAGCAUUUUUAUGUUUUUCCUAGUUAGUAGAUUGAAUAGCUCAAAAUAGAAUGAAUGUACAUAAUUAAGGAGGGAUCUAUUGAUGCACGUUAAUCCCACGCUGCAUUAGCCACUCGCAUCACCCAUAUGGUAGUGGGCGACGAAUGAUAGAAUGAUAGCAUAUUUAUUGUCUCAUUUUACCCCAACUUAUCGUUCUUUUCUUGACCAAGUUCGGUUAUACUAACUAUAUUCUACUAUACCUAUGCUUCAUUUCUUACCAAUUGAGCUAAUGCCAAUUACUCGUGCCAUGAAACCAACUGUUAUAAACAAAUAGAAAUAAUUGAACAAAUGAUUGAUCGGUGUUUACCUUGAACUUGAGAUACUCGAUGAAUUGACUGUGAGUAAGAAUUUUAUGCCAUUCAAAAUCAGUUGUAAUGAAAAUAAUGAAUUUAAAGUAAUGAUGCAGAUAUAUUUGAAAAUAAGUUUUAUUGAAAACUUACUUAGAAACUUAUAAUUGAUUUACUAACAAUUGAGUCAACAAAUUUGAAUGAAAAAAAGGAUAUUGGUGCACGCAAACAUCCUUGACAUUUGAAAAUUAAAAGUGUUUACAAAUUUAAACUGGGAAAUUACAAGCUGAUUUUUGCUUCUGUUAUGUUGUUGGAGAAUACGUAGAAGUUUCAGCCCUCCUGGAAUAAGACCUGAGGUUUCUUUUAAUAGACUGGAAAUAAUUGAGUGGAAUGAUUGAGGCCGAGAAUCUUGCUGUCUUCUGAGUUGAAAGAUGAUGAUUAAAGUUGAUGACUGUUGAAUCACGCGGCUCCUGUUGGGAAGCAGAAUGAUGGCUUGCUUUUACUGCUGAUGAAUAGUGAAAAAGUGAUUUUACUAUUCAUGAAUAGUGAAUUGUCUGGAAUCUAGAAUGAUGGCUACUGCUUUCGGUGCUGGAAAUGACAUGUUUCCUAUUGGGGUCACAUGCCUAGUUACUGUGUCUUCACAUGUUUGAAUUAUUCAAAGAUCGAAUGGGUCCUGGAAUCCUGAUAAUAUGCUGCUUGAGAUUUUUUACUUGCUGAAUUGGCUGGAUGCUAUGACGAUGCGCAAAGCUGCUUCUGCCAUUAACCGUUGGGCUAAAUCUUUGAGCUGGGAUUAUUUUUCUUUCUUCUUUGAACUUGUUGAUUUGGAUGACUUAGUUGUUCCCUUGAGGGAUGAAGACAGGCUAAUGUCUGAUAAAGAUUGUUCUGGAAUGGUUGGUAAUGCCAUUGUUGGUUGCGCUGGAAUAGCUGGAAUUGGAGUGAUGGGAAACUCUGAGAGGACCAGAUUGAUGAUCUUCUGAUGAUUGAAUUUAUCCCACCACUUGACUGGUCUUGAUCUGUAGACUUCACCGGUUUCAACUUCAUAAUUCCACUUCAAAAUUCAUAGGACUUUGUACUUGGCCAUGAAUAAUAGGAGAAGUGUAAUCCUGUAGUUAAAUCGGCUUUUGUCAAAUUUCUUCUGGAAACCAGCUGAUAAGACUUGCAUGAGUUCUUCUGGUAAGAGGCUGGCUGUUGGGCCAUGAACCAACCACCAUUUUGGGAACCAUGCUGAGAAAUUUAACCUGAAACUCUUGUCAAAAUUGAUUAACCAUGAAUGACUAAAGUCUUCUAUUUGAUGGAGGAAAAUGUUAGUCCAUACUUGAAUGUAAUCAAAAUAAUUGUAAUGGUUAUUGGGAAUGAGAACAUGCUGGUUAUUAAAAACUUUCCAAUAUAAAUAGAAUGGUAAAAGAUUU